CAGCAAAAUUCCCUGGGAAGGGAGUGAAAUUCCCUAAGGGAGUGAAAUUCCCUUGGAAGGGAGUGAAAUUCCCU
rnacentral:sRNA from 1 species